GUGGCUUCAAAGUGCCACGUUUGGCCAGUGA
rnacentral:piRNA from 1 species